GACGAACGCUGGCGGCGUGCUUAACACAUGCAAGUCGAACGGAAAGGCCCUGCUUGCAGGGUGCUCGAGUGGCGAACGGGUGAGUAACACGUGGAUGAUCUGCCCCUUACUUUGGGAUAAGCCUGGGAAACUGGGUCUAAUACUGGAUAGGACCAUGCUGUAGGUGGUGUGGUGGAAAGAUUAGUUUCGGUAAGGGAUGAGCUCGCGGCCUAUCAGCUUGUUGGUGGGGUAAUGGCCUACCAAGGCGUCGACGGGUAGCCGGCCUGAGAGGGUGGACGGCCACAUUGGGACUGAGAUACGGCCCAGACUCCUACGGGAGGCAGCAGUGGGGAAUAUUGCACAAUGGGCGCAAGCCUGAUGCAGCGACGCCGCGUGGGGGAUGACGGCCUUCGGGUUGUAAACUCCUUUCAGCCAUGACGAAGCCCUUGUGGUGACGGUAGUGGUAGAAGAAGCACCGGCUAACUACGUG
rnacentral:rRNA from 1 species